rnacentral:lncRNA from 1 species
AAAAAUCCCCAUACUUUAAGGUACAUACUCAGUUAGUGGGCCAAUUACAACACCCCAAAAAUUCAUACAACCCAUCCUGGUGUAUGCACAAUGACAGCAUCAGUUUGUGAAGCUUUGUUAGCUGAGUGCUGAAAAGCUUUAUCCACAGUCCCAGGCAAAGCUUUCGGAGCAACAUAAAGCAUCACCAUCUUUGAUAAUGCAUUGAAAGAGUUUGGAAGCUUCAUUGGUGUCGAACGACAGCUGAAUGACACACUCUAUAACUAUUUUGUAAAUUUUCAACAGAUUCUAGCACAUUUUUCCAGGAUUUAAUAACUGCAGACAUUCAUCUCCCGAAGUUUCACAAGUUUGCCAAAAGAUCUAAUGUCGAAGGCUCAGCUUUCCCACCCCCAUAUUGGUGAACACACGGAGAUUCUCUUUUCCUCCAACAAACACCCCA